rnacentral:rRNA from 1 species
UACGUAGGGGGCAAGCGUUGUGCGGAUUUAUUGGGCGUAAAGAGCGUGUAGGCGGCCAGGUAGGUCGGUUGUGAAAACUGGAGGCUCAACCUUCAGACGUCGACCGAAACCCCCUGGCUAGAGUCCGGAAGAGGAGAGUGGAAUUCCUGGUGUAGCGGUGAAAUUCGUAGAUAUUCGCAAGAACACCAGUGGCGAAGGCGGCUCACUGGCCCGGUACUGACGCUGAGGUGCGAAAGCGUGGGGAGCAAACAGG